rnacentral:rRNA from 1 species
GAUGAACGCUGGCGGCGUGCUUAAUACAUGCAAGUCGAGCGAACGGACGAGAAGCUUGCUUCUCUGAUGUUAGCGGAGGACGGGUGAGUAACACGUGGAUAACCUACCUAUAAGACUGGGAUAACUUCGGGACACCGGCGCUUAUCCCGGAUAAUAUUUUGAACCGCAUGGUUCAAUAGUGAAAGACGGUCUUGCUGUCACUUAUCGAUGGUUCCGCGCUGCAUUAGCUAGUUGGUAAGGUAACGGCUUAUCACGGCAACGAUGCAUAGCCGACCUGAGAGAGUGAUCGGCCACACGGGAACGGGGACACGGACCAGACGCCUAAGGGAGGCAGCAGUAGGGAAUCUUCCGCAGUGGUCGAAAGCCUGACAGAGCAGCGCCGCGUGAGUGAUGGAGAUCUUCGGAUCGUAAAACUCUGUUAUGAGGGAAGAACAUAUGUGUAAGUAACUGUGCACAGCUUGACGGUACCUAAUCAGAAAGCCACGGCUAACUACGUG